AUAUUUCCCAAUCAAGGUCUUUCAAGGUGUCCUUCACCAGUUUAGCGGUAUGAGACGGCGCGUUGUCAUGUUGCAAGAUAACUUUGCCAUGUCUUCGGGCCCAUUCCGGCCGUUUUUCGAUCAACGCAUUAUUCAAAUUGAUAAUUUGUUGUCGGUAGCGAUCCUUAUUAACCGUUUCACCAGGUUUCAAUAACUCGAAGUACACCACACCACACUGGUCCCGCACUGGUGCCGCAAAUGCGAUUUACUUGGAACGAAACUCGACAUAUUCACUGAGGUUAAUGUCAACAGAAAAAAAUGACACAUAUGCUGAAUGAUACAAAUGUACUAGUACUGCUAGCGACAUCUAACAGUCAAACCGGCAAACUUCAACUAACACCCCUGGUAAAAGCGUGGUGUAAUAACCUUGGAGUCUCAUCUAAAGGAAAUAAAACGGAACUCUUAGCAAGAAUUAUGGAAAUUCCGCAAAAUGAACGCGGCUCGUGUCCAGAGUUAGGCACACCGCUUAAAAGUACACCAAAAAGUAUUGAGUCUAAUAAAAGUAUUGAAAAAAGUAAUGAAAAUUAUUGCGAAGUUGUAAAAAGUAAUGCAAAUGAACUAAAUGUGUCGAUUGAGAAAAGUAAAGACCUUGAAAAAAGUGAAGCAACUGAAAUGAAAAAGUAGCCGAAAAUGUAAGCGACUGCGACGGCGCCAUAGGCUGUCGCGACUGUUGUGAAAUUCCGAUGAGCAGCCGCGCAGCUGCAAAAAUGUAUGUUGCAGAAUAUGUAGGCAGCGCAGCCGCGUUGCCCAGCGACGAAGUAGAGGAGAACGAAAAUGAAAAAGUACCGUUUGACGAAUGUGAGGCAAAAUGCAGUACGGUGGCUUCUGGCUGCGGUGUACAGUCAAAUAAAGAUGAUAUGUCAUGUUGUAUUAAAACUACAAUGCGAAAAUGCUGAGCUACGCAAUAAAUGUAUGGUGCCUUUUGAGACAAUUAAA